AUAUCAAUAAGCGGAGGAAAAGAAACUAACAAGGAUUCCCCUAGUAACUGCGAGUGAAGCGGGAAAAGCUCAAAUUUAAAAUCUGGUGGUCUUUUGCCCAUCCGAGUUGUAAUUUAGAGAAGCGUCUUCCGCGCUGGACCGUACACAAGUCUCCUGGAACGGAGCGUCAUAGAGGGUGAGAAUCCCGUCUUUGGUACGGACCCCCAGGGCUUCUGUGAUGCGCUCUCGAAGAGUCGAGUUGUUUGGGAAUGCAGCUCAAAAUGGGUGGUGAACUCCAUCUAAAGCUAAAUAUUGGCGAGAGACCGAUAGCGAACAAGUACCGUGAGGGAAAGAUGAAAAGCACUUUGGAAAGAGAGUGAAACAGUAC
rnacentral:rRNA from 1 species